AACGAACGCUGGCGGCAUGCCUAAUACAUGCAAGUCGAACGAGACCUUCGGAUCUAGUGGCGCACGGGUGCGUAACGCGUGGGAAUCUACCCUUAGGUUCGGAAUAACGGUUAGAAAUGACUGCUAAUACCGGAUGAUGACGUAAGUCCAAAGAUUUAUCGCCCAAGGAUGAGCCCGCGUAGGAUUAGCUAGUUGGUGGGGUAAAGGCCUACCAAGGCUACGAUCCUUAGCUGGUCUGAGAGGAUGAUCAGCCACACUGGGACUGAGACACGGCCCAGACUCCUACGGGAGGCAGCAGUAGGGAAUAUUGGGCAAUGGGGGAAACCCUGAUCCAGCAAUGCCGCGUGAGCGAUGAAGGCCUUAGGGUUGUAAAGCUCUUUUACCCGGGAUGAUAAUGACAGUACCGGGAGAAUAAGCCCCGGCUAACUCCGUGCCAGCCGCCGCGGUAA
rnacentral:rRNA from 1 species